GUUAAUCGAACAAAACAUUUAAAGUAUUUACAAUACACAUUUAAAUCAAGUGUGCGUAUUACAAUGAGUAUUAUAUCGGUGAUUUAUUCCAAGAAAACUACCUUUAUUUCGAGUAUAAUUUAGCUAAUUGAAAAUACAGAAAUGUCUUUCUUCCUUCUCUUCUGCAAACAUUACUGUGUGUUAAUCUGAUUUUUUUUUUUUGGUUCUUAUCAAUAACUCCAUUGUUUCUUCGUAUAGACCUCUCAAAAUCAGCCAUUUGUACAAUAAUAUUCAACCAGAAUUAUCAUUAAUGUAUGCACGUUAGAAACCGAAGGAGAUAUCCGACUGAUCGGAGCGGGUGUGGGUAUCGAAUCAGAAGGUCGGAUUCAAAUUGUACGUCACAAUGCAUGGGGCACUAUCUGUCAUCAUUCAUGGAAUAUUCAAGAUGCUAACGUUGUAUGUCGUCAACUGGGCUUCGAGUUCGCUACCCUUGCAACCAGGAACUCCUACUACGGAGGAGGCAACCUCGAUCAAACUGUCAUGUUAAGUAAUGUAAGAUGUAACGGAACAGAGGAGCAUCUCCUUGACUGUGAGAACGACGGAUGGGGAGUCGGGGACUGCGGCCAAAUUCACCUGGAUGACGCCGGUGUCAAGUGUGCCAAUGAAAUUUUUGAAGGCACAAUGCGGUUAACGAAUGUGCGAGCGAAACGAAGGCCUACUCGGGAUCUACCACGGCGGCAACUGGGGCACGAUCUGCAAUGACGAGUCCUUUUCGGACGUCGAAGCCAUGGUUGCCUGUCGUCAUCUCGGCUACGACACGGUGACGUCAUUCGCCACAUC